CUACCGGCGGCCCGAGUGGCGGCCACUAUUAUUGGGCCUAAAGCGUCCGUAGCCGGGCUGGUAAGUCCCCCGGGAAAUCUGGCGGCUUAACCGUCAGACUGCCGGGGGAUACUGCCAGCCUAGGGACCGGGAGAGGCCGGGGGUAUUCCCGGGGUAGGGGUGAAAUCCUGUAAUCCCGGGAGGACCACCUGUGGCGAAGGCGCCCGGCUGGAACGGGUCCGACGGUGAGGGACGAAGGCCAGGGGAGCGAACCGGAUUAGAAACCCUAGUAGUCC
rnacentral:rRNA from 1 species